rnacentral:rRNA from 1 species
AUUGAACGCUGGCGGCAGGCCUAACACAUGCAAGUCGAGCGAGCGGCGGACGGGUGUGUAAUGUAUGGGGACUGCCCGAUAGCGGGGGUUAACUACUGGAAACGGUGGCUAAUACCGCAUACUAUUGGAUAACCCAUAUGGGAUUAGCUAGUAGGUGGGGUAAAGGCUCACCUAGGCCACGAUCUCUAGCUGGUCUGAGAGGAUGAUCAGCCAUACUGGAACUGAGACACGGCCCAGACUCCUACGGAGGCAGCAGUGGGGAAUAUUGCGCAAUGGGCGCAAGCCUGAUGUAGCCAUGCCGCGUGUAUGAAGAAGGCCUUAGGGUUGUAAAGUACUUUCAGCGGGGAGGCGUUACCCGCAGAAAAAGCACCGGCUAACUCCGUGCCAGCAGCCGCGGUAAUAC